rnacentral:rRNA from 3 species
AGACCCGAAACCCGGUGAUCUAGCCAUGGGCAGGUUGAAGGUUGGGUAACACUAACUGGAGGACCGAACCGACUAAUGUUGAAAAAUUAGCGGAUGACCUGUGGCUGGGGGUGAAAGGCCAAUCAAACCGGGAGAUAGCUGGUUCUCCCCGAAAGCUAUUUAGGUAGCGCCUCGUGAAUUCAUCUCCGGGGGUAGAGCACUGUUUCGGCUAGGGGGCCAUCCCGGCUUACCAACCCGAUGCAAACUGCGAAUACCGGAGAAUGUUAUCACGGGAGACACACGGCGGGUGCUAACGUCCGUCGUGAAGAGGGAAACAACCCAGACCGCCAGCUAAGGUCCCAAAGUCAUGGUUAAGUGGGAAACGAUGUGGGAAGGCCCAGACAGCCAGGAUGUUGGCUUAGAAGCAGCCAUCAUUUAAAGAAAGCGUAAUAGCUCACUGGUCGAGUCGGCCUGCGCGGAAGAUGUAACGGGGCUAAACCAUGCACCGAAGCUGCGGCAGCGACACUCAGGUGUUGUUGGGUAGGGGAGCGUUCUGUAAGCCU